rnacentral:rRNA from 1 species
GUCUAUGGUCAUGCCACCCUAAACAAGCCUGAUCCCGUCUGAUCUCAGAAGCUAAGCAGGGUUGGGCCUGGUUAGUACUUGGAUGGGAGACCACCUAGGAAGACCAGGUGCUGUAGGUG